UACGUAGGUGGCAAGCGUUGUCCGGAAUUAUUGGGCGUAAAGCGUGCGCAGGCGGCGCGUUAAGACAGGUGUGAAAGCCCCGAGCUUAACUUGGGAAUUGCGCUUGUGACUGGCGAGCUGGAGUGUGGCAGAGGGAGGUGGAAUUCCACGUGUAGCAGUGAAAUGCGUAGAGAUGUGGAGGAACACCGAUGGCGAAGGCAGCCUCCUGGGCCAGCACUGACGCUCAUGCACGAAAGCGUGGGGAGCAAACAGG
rnacentral:rRNA from 1 species